UCUGCGCCUGGCCCGGCGACUGCGGGCGCUGCGGUCCACUGGGUCCGCCUCUUCCCGGCAUGGGUUUCUGCCCAGCUCACCCGCUGUCAGCUGGGGUCCUGCUCUGGUGGGAGGAAGAGGCUCAGACGCUUCCCUGCCCUCUCGCCUCAACCACCUCGAGGCAGCGGCUCCCAGGAUGUGCACUUUGACGACUAAAGCUGAGCCGGCGCCGCCACGACCUUGGGCGGGUGGUCGGCCUCUGCCCUGAGCAGGAAGUAGAAAGUCUCAGCAGACCCUUCCUGAGGGCCGAGCAACAGUGUAGUGGCGUAUUCCACAUAGCAAACAGGUGAAUUCCUUGGAAGAUGAGGGCCAAGUCUUAUUCUUCUCAGUCUCUUCUGCAUCUAGCAGAAGAAUAAUGGUUGCACAGAAAAUCUUGGUUCAGUGGUUGAGUGAAUGAAUGGAUGAACAGGCUCUUGCACACAAAGAAGAGACAUGAUGUAUUUGCAUCCUUCCCUGCUUCAGCCAGUUUUCUGAAGCUCAGAGGGACACCUUGUAUUGCUGGAUGAUAAAAACAGGAGCAAAGUGAUGAAGUGCUGACAAGGCAACAAUAGAACAUGAGAGAUUCACUGCUGUGUAGGAAGAGAUCUUCGGUGACCAUGUAGCCUGAAGCUCUCAUUUUGUCAUCGAGGGACACCAAAACUCAGAACAGCAGCAGCUCACGCUGCUGAUGCAACACAGGUGAAGAGCACCUUCCCCUCCCCCACCUGUGGGCUGAUUCCCACCACGUGGAUCCCAAGGCCAUCCCAGGAACUCUUUGGAGGGGAGAAGCCCAGUGGAAACUGUCAGGCCUCUGAGCACAAGCCAAGCCAUCGCAUCCCCUGUGACUUGCACGUAUAUGCCCAGAUGGCCUGAAGUAACUGAAGAAUCACAAAAGAAGUGAAAAGGCCCUGCCCCACCUUAACUGAUGACAUUCCACCAUUGUGAUUUGUUCCUGCCCCACCUUCACUGAGUGAUUAACCCUGUGAAUUUCCUUCUCCUGGCUCAGAAGCUCCCCCACUGAGCACCUUGUGACCCCCGCCCCUGCCCACCAGAGAACAACCCCCUUUGACUGUAAUUUUCCAUUACCUUCCCAAAUCCUAUAAAACGGCCCCACCCCUAUCUCCCUUCGCUGACUCUCUUUUCGGACUCAGCCCGCCUGCACCCAGGUGAAAUAAACAGCCAUGUUGCU
rnacentral:lncRNA from 1 species